UGGAUUGCCCUCAAGAGGCUUGAUCUCAAUGCAGAUAACAGGAUCAUAGCUCUCCGGGAGGUUCACAUUCCAAGUGGAGCCCGAGUAACCAGCAUAAGACAAAUACUAGCUCAUUCUUUCAGGCUUGACACUUCUCAGACAAUACUUAAGAUAUGAAACAAUCGAGGAUGCCUAAUUCCAUUACAUUCCUGCAUGCCACCAAACAGCAAGCACAUG